CUCUGAAUUAAACACUUUAAUUUUUCAGUAUAUCAUUUUCACUUAUUUUAUUUUAAUGUAAAAAAAUUCAAAAGCAAAAAUUCAAGUUUUAAAAAUUCAAUUAAAAUAAAUUCAGGUUGCUCAAAUUCGACCUGUCAAAUUCGACUGCUAAAAUACAACGCUCAAAAUUCGCUGUCAACAUCCGGGACACACAGGAUGAGCAAUCGAUUCAGUCUUCAAUCGAGCCAACAACCAGCCAAUCACAUCACGCUCCGAAGAUCACGUGACAGGUAGCGCCUCACGGCUCAGAGCCGCUCAACGCGAGUCACAGCCCCCUCCGCUGCUCCUCUCGAGUAGGUUGAAAAGAAGAUGGAGAAGUUUCAGCUUGCAGCUAUGGAGAGUUCACCACGAAAAGAACGAAGUCAAAGAAUACAAAGAUCUGUCCAUAUUCUGAAGUCACCACUUGAAGAUUUUAUGCAGAAUUAUUUGGAUUAUGAAUAGGAACCACAUUAUUUGCAACAGCUUUUAUUAUUUAUACAAACAAGAUGAACAUGAUAUGAUGUGCCAGAAUAUAGGGAGGCUGCCUAAAACAUACAAAAAAAAAAAAAAAAUACAGAACACAUGUAAACAACUAAAGAAAAACAGAACAUGGCACAUGUAAAUAAAUCAAAUAAACACAGCACAGACUGCAUGAAAUUGGAUUUCUUUAUUUGUUCUUUAAAAGUUUGGAGAAAGGAAACCUGUGUAAUACAAAAGAAACUUGAAAAAUUACUGCAUUUGAUACAUGGAUAUAAUUAAACAUUUUAAGAACAUUAA